AGUGAACGCUGGCGGUAGGCCUAACACAUGCAAGUCGAACGGCAGCACAGUAAGAGCUUGCUCUUACGGGUGGCGAGUGGCGGACGGGUGAGGAAUACAUCGGAAUCUACUUUUUCGUGGGGGAUAACGUAGGGAAACUUACGCUAAUACCGCAUACUACCUACGGGUGAAAGCAUCGGAUCUUCGGACCUUGCGCGAUUGAAUGAGCCGAUGUCGGAUUAGCUAGUUGGCGGGGUAAAGGCCCACCAAGGCGACGAUCCGUAGCUGGUCUGAGAGGAUGAUCCGGCACACUGGAAGUGAGACACGGUCCAGACUCCUACGGGAGGCAGCAGUGGGGAAUAUUGGACAAUGGGCGAAAGCCUGAUCCAGCCAUACCGCGUGGGUGAAGAAGGCCUUCGGGUUGUAAAGCCCUUUUGUUGGGAAAGAAAAGCAGCAGGUUAAUAACCCGCUGUUAUGACGGUACCCAAAGAAUAAGCACCGGCUAACUUCGUG
rnacentral:rRNA from 1 species